GAUGAAGAACGUAGCGAAAUGCGAUAAGUAGUGUGAAUUGCAGAAUUCAGUGAAUCAUCGAAUCUUUGAACGCACAUUGCGCCCUUUGGUAUUCCUUAGGGCAUGCCUGUUCGAGCGUCAUUUAAACCUUCAAGCUCAGCUUGGUGUUGGGUGACUGUCCGCUUCACCGCAGACUCGCCUCAAAAUUAUUGGCGGCCGGUACAUUGGCUUCGAGCGCAGCAGAAACGCGAACUCGGGCCCGUCGUAUUGGCUCCCAGAAGCUAUCUUCACAAUUUUGACCUCGGAUCAGGUAGGGAUACCCGCUGAACUUAAGCAUAUCAAUAAGCGGAGGA
rnacentral:misc_RNA from 1 species